ACCACAAGGUGGCAGUAGACCUCAGUGCACAGAAUUCACUUUAGUAACAGUUGAAUGUGUUAGGCUUAGGGCAAAAGUGAGCUCUUUUCCCAUUGGCGGGUUCAACUCAAGAACGAGACAUUCUGAGAAAGAGGAAGCACCGGGCAGGAGCAGCUACCUGGCUAGUGAUCACAUUCUACUGCAGAGUUUCAUCAGGAAGAGCAAUGAGGGCUUGCGAUCCCACUUUUCUCACGUUCCUGUGGCUGCAGCUGGACUGGGUGACCCGAGGAGAGAAGGUGGAGCAGCAUCCUUCCACCCUGAGUGUCCAGGAGGGAGACAGCAGUGAGAUCAACUGUACUUAUUCAGACAGUGCCUCUAACUACUUCCCUUGGUAUAGGCAAGAGCCUGGAAAGGGUCCCCAGCUCAUCAUUGACAUUCGUUCAAAUUCAGAGAGAAAACAGAACCAAAGAUUCACUGUCUCACUGGAUAAGAAAGCCAAACACUUCUCCCUGCACAUUGCAGCCACCCAGCCUGGAGAUGCAGUCCUCUACUGUGCAGCAAGUACACACUGCUCCCCAGACACCUGCAGCCUGUCCUCAAACCUGCUUACGGGGCCUGGAGCCCCACUCCAGGUCUUUGUCACAGAUGUUCUAGUACAGCAUUUGCCAGAUGUUUGUUUUCAAGUGAAACUAUCAUAUAGAGACUAA